GGGCGGGGCGGGGCCGGGCGGGGCGCGGAGACCCAGCCGCGUUUUGCCUGCUCCAGGACGGGAGAGGCUGGGAUGCGGGAGGAGAGGAAGACUCAAGCUCCAGGCCUGAGGUGGAUUCCCACCAGUCCUAUCCCCAGCACACAUCUCCCUGAGAGCGCCAGCAAGUGAGGCAUAUGGACUUGGUCAGAGAUGGAGGGCUGAGGAUGUGAUGGGGAGAGGAGAGGAGAUAGCCACACAAGCAGGAAGGAGCUUGGAGCUAGCAGGACACAAUAGCGUCACAGAACAUGGAAGGAGGACCAGCAAAGAGACAGACAAGGCAUCCCCACCAGGCACAGCCAAGCCAACUGAGCAGGAUGACACAAGAGACCCCCAGGCAUCGAGAGAGAACCCCAAAAAAGAAAUGAGGAAAUAAAAGCUGGAUUCGAAUCACUGAUAAGCAUGGUAAAAGGUUUAGAGGUAAGAUGUGUACUGAUGUCUGCAACUUUGAAAGGUAUCCAUAAAAAUGAGAUAGAUUGAUAGGUAUGUGAUAAAGCAAAUAUAGAAAACUGUCAAUUUUAGAAUAUAGGUGGUAGGGAUAUGUUCACUGUAAAAUUAUUUCAAUUUUGUUCUGUUUGAACAUCUUAAUAAUAAAAUGUGUGGGGAAAUAAAACCCUGAAUCUUAUCCUGCUGUCCAACACGGAGGACACUGUGGAUGGGGGGAGAGGGAAGAAAUGCCAGAAAGUUUCUGAAUGUGAAGGAGGAAAUGUACAUGCAUAUGAACGCAGGCAUGGAUGGCACCUUACCUCCUCCCUCAACAUGAGUUCUCCAGUCUCCACCCU